GACGAACGCUGGCGGCGUGCCUAAUACAUGCAAGUUGAGCGCUGAAGGUUGGUACUUGUACCAACUGGAUGAGCAGCGAACGGGUGAGUAACGCGUGGGGAAUCUGCCUUUGAGCGGGGGACAACAUUUGGAAACGAAUGCUAAUACCGCAUAAAAACUUUAAACACAAGUUUUAAGUUUGAAAGAUGCAAUUGCAUCACUCAAAGAUGAUCCCGCGUUGUAUUAGCUAGUUGGUGAGGUAAAGGCUCACCAAGGCGAUGAUACAUAGCCGACCUGAGAGGGUGAUCGGCCACAUUGGGACUGAGACACGGCCCAAGCUCCUACGGAAGGCAGCAGUAGGGAAUCUUCGGCAAGGGACGAAAGUCUGACCGAGCAACGCCGCGUGAGUGAAGAAGGUUUUCGUAUCGUAAAACUCUGUUGGUAGAGAAGAACGUUGGUGAGAGUGGAAAGCUCAUCAAGUGACGGUAACUACCCAGAAAGGGACGGCUAACUACGUG
rnacentral:rRNA from 1 species